rnacentral:tRNA from 1 species
UACUGAAAGAAUUUUAAAUUCAUAAGUAAAUUUACAGUUUACUACCUUAAUCAGACACAUCAGC